UACGAAGGGGGCUAGCGUUGCUCGGAAUCACUGGGCGUAAAGCGCACGUAGGCGGACUCUUAAGUCGGUGGUGAAAUCCUGGAGCUCAACUCCAGAACUGCCUUCGAUACUGAGAGUCUCGAGUCCGGGAGAGGUGAGUGGAACUGCGAGUGUAGAGGUGAAAUUCGUAGAUAUUCGCAAGAGCACCAGUGGCGAAGGCGGCUCACUGGCCCGGUACUGACGCUGAGGUGCGAAAGCGUGGGGAGCAAACAGG
rnacentral:rRNA from 1 species